GAGCCAUUAGCUCAGUCGGUAGAGCACCGGACUUUUAAUCCGGGUGUCGGAGGUUCGAAUCCUCCAUAGCUCACCA
rnacentral:tRNA from 1 species